UGUUCACAGCAACAAUGACUCUUUUCAGCACAGAGAAACCGAUAAAUAAGGAGACAUUGAAUUUGUCAUCAUAGAUUUAUUUAAAAAAAAAAGUCAGUGCAGUUCAAGUCUGGAUUCUUGAAAGGGGGACAUAAUCACACUGGAGUGCCCACUGGAACAGUACAACACUGCCUUUCCAGAAAAAAAAAUAAAAGUUGUAGCGCAGGUAGGCGGAAGAGGUCGGCUCGCAGCUGUGAAGAGCUGAUGACAGCUGUGGCCCUGCCCACCAGGUUUUGAGGUUAAAAUCCUGAUGGAAAAUCAUCCAAUCGGGAUUGUUCUCUCUGUGGUCUGUAGGGAAAUAAAGCUGAGCUGCUCACGCAUAAGUUAGGACUUCAGCAGCUGGACUGAAGGUCUUACAUGUCAGAUGAACUACCAACUUAAUUACGAAGUGACAGAAGAACCAACCAGACCAUGUGAUUUCAGACACUUUUGUGGAACAUCAAGAUGUCACUGACGGUGAAUAUAAGCCUCAACAAAGGUGGUGUUUGUUGCGCAUUUUCUCAGCAUACACAAUUUGUUUGAGAAGA